UUUGCGCUUAAAUGGGUGUUCAAUAGUUUUCGCCUUCUAAGUGAAUGUUCUCGUAUUUUAAAGUGUGAAGGUUCAUUUUACGUCUGUUUUUGCAAGUUUGGCAUGUGUUUUACCAAAUGUGAAGGUGUAGUAGUCUUUGCUUCAGCGGAUGUUCGUACAAGACCCCGUUCACCGACUAUCAGGAAAAUCACAGGGCUGGUUUCCGAAGCCUCCAAAGGAACAGGGCCAUAGUGUGACUGACGUGAACCGCACAUAUACGUCUAUGCUGUGUCUACGCAGUGCCAGGAUUCAUGAGCCACUGCAAAGUGCAAUCAGCAGCACUAUCCUGAACAUCUGGGUGCACAGUUUGUAACAAAUGGUGCCAGCGGUGUGAUCCGACAAUCACUGGGCAAGCUCCAGACCGCCAGGCCCAUCCUACCUCCACGGUCCUGGGUUCCCAUCUUUUAACACCGAGCAGAAGCAAAAAAAUAAUUGACAUCUAUGAAUAAGGUAAGUUCUUUUGGACUGCUUCCCUGGAACAUAGGAGGCAAAUGCCUUCGGGAAGUCCAGUCGCACUUUCUUCUAGUGGACUAUAAGGCGGGUGCAGACUAUGUAAGGAAACCUUUUUAUUUUAAAUGGCCUCUCACCAGGUUCGGACGUUGAAAACCAACAAGUGCAAUGCACAGAUCACACACUGGCAAUCCUGUCUGCAAAUUAUCAAAAUGAUGCACAGUGGGAAAACAGAUGAAAUUUUAAACAAAGCUAUCAAGGCCUUUCUCUUGAGGGAGUCCCACCUCAGCCAGAGAGUUAAGGUUACACACACAA